UACGUAGGGUGCAAGCGUUGUCCGGAAUUAUUGGGCGUAAAGAGCUCGUAGGCGGUCUGUCGCGUCUGCUGUGAAAACUCAGGGCUUAACCCUGAGCUUGCAGUGGGUACGGGCAGACUAGAGUGCGGUAGGGGAGACUGGAAUUCCUGGUGUAGCGGUGAAAUGCGCAGAUAUCAGGAGGAACACCGGUGGCGAAGGCGGGUCUCUGGGCCGUAACUGACGCUGAGGCGCGAAAGCAUGGGGAGCAAACAGG
rnacentral:rRNA from 1 species